UAGGGAAUCUUCGGCAAUGGACGAAAGUCUGACCGAGCAACGCCGCGUGAGUGAAGAAGGUUUUCGGAUCGUAAAACUCUGUUGUUAGAGAAGAACAAGGACGUUAGUAACUGAACGUCCCCUGACGGUAUCUAACCAGAAAGCCACGGCUAACUACGUGCCAGCAGCCGCGGUAAUACGUAGGUGGCAAGCGUUGUCCGGAUUUAUUGGGCGUAAAGCGAGCGCAGGCGGUUUCUUAAGUCUGAUGUGAAAGCCCCCGGCUCAACCGGGGAGGGUCAUUGGAAACUGGGAGACUUGAGUGCAGAAGAGGAGAGUAGAAGUCCAUGUGUAGCGGUGAAAUGCGUAGAUAUAUGGAGGAACACCAGUGGCGAAGGCGGCUCUCUGGUCUGUAACUGACGCUGAGGCUCGAAAGCGUGGGGAGCAAACAGG
rnacentral:rRNA from 1 species